AAAGGGGCUCUGAGAGAGCCAGAGAGGGACUAGAGACAAGGGCCUGGAUUGCCAGGACAACAGGGAAUGGCUUCCCACUGCCAGAGGGCAGGGUUAGAUGGGAUA